CAAAAUAUAAUUUUCCGUAUACAAAAAAAAAAAAGAUAUGAGAUCUGCUACACUGUUCAUGUUUGCUUGUGCUAUCAUGUUACUUGUUUUAAGUCGGGUUCAAGAGAUAGAGGCUCGAAAGGCGAAAGUAUGUGAUAUAAGGAGUAGUUUCACUGAACGACCUAAUAAGUGUGACAUACUUGGUGACAAAAACAAUCCCAAGGCAUGUGUAGAAGCUUUUGCUCAGGAGGAUAAAAAAAAGGUUUUCCAAUGCGAGUGUAGCCCUACUGAAGAACUUAUCUGCUCUUGUAAAAUUGCUUGCUAAGUUUACUUAUUUAUCAAUAUGAAACAUAAAUAUUACCUAAUGUCUUUUCCAUUGUAACACUCUCUAUGUAUCAGAAAUAAUGAUUUUCUGAGUUUUUUUUUACCAAAAUUAAUAAAAUAAUAAAUGAUAUACUUUAAUUAA